AAAUUUACCCAAGAAAAGGAACGGAUAGCUAUUUUCAGAAGAAAUCCAGUAAAGACCAUUCAAAAAUACAAGUGGAUUAGAGAAAGAUGAUAGGUGGGGUGGGAAGGAAUGAAUGGUUGCUAGGAACUCACAUUCAAGGCCAAUCUUCUGUGAAUGUUGUAAUGCUCGACAGCAAGAGCAAGUAUGAAGCUGCCUAAAACAAGGGCAAUCACAUCGUCCACGUAAGAGUGCGCAACCUCAUCGGCAGAGGAAAUCCCAAAAAGUGGGAGGA